rnacentral:rRNA from 1 species
UACGUAGGGGCCGAGCGUUGUCCGGAGUUAUUGGGCGUAAAGCGCGCGCAGGCGGCCUCGCGCGCCCGACGUGAAAGCCCCCGGCUUAACCGGGGAGAGUCGUUGGGGACGGCGGGGCUUGAGGGCGGGAGAGGUCGGUGGAAUUCCCGGUGUAGUGGUGAAAUGCGUAGAGAUCGGGAGGAACACCUGUGGCGAAGGCGGCCGACUGGGACAACACUGACGCUGAAGCACGAAAGCGUGGGGAGCAAACAGG